UUCCGGUUGAUCCUGCCGGACCCUACUGCUAUCGGGGUGGGACUAAGACAUGCGAGUCGUGCGUCUCUAGGCUAUGGUAGAGACGCGGCAUACGGCUCAGUAACACGUGGCUAACCUACCCUUGGGACGGGGACAACCCCGGGAAACUGGGGUCAAUACUCGAUGGGUGAAGAGGCCUGGAAUGGUUCUUCACUGAAAAGACGUUGAAACCAUGCUUUUCAACGUUGCCUAAGGAUGGGGCCGCGUCCGAUCAGGUUGUUGGUGGGGUAAAGGCUCACCAAGCCUUUAACCGGUACGGGCCGUGAGAGCGGGAGCCCGGAGAUGGGCACUGAGACAAGGGCCCAGGCCCUACGGGGCGCAGCAGUCGCGAAAACUCCGCAAUGCGCGAAAGCGUGACGGGGCUACCCCGAGUGUCGUCCGCUGAGGAUGACUUUUCCCCGGUGUAAGGAGCCGGGGGAAUAAGGAGAGGGCAAGCCUGGUGUCAGCCGCCGCGGUAAUACCAGCUCUCCGAGUGGUAGGGACGAUUAUUGGGCUUAAAGCGUCCGUAGCCGGCCCGGCAAGUCUCCCGUUAAAUUCAGCGACCUAAUCGUUGGGCUGCAGGAGAUACUGUCAGGCUAGGAGGCGGGAGAGGCCGACGGUAUUCCCGGGGUAGGGGUGAAAUCCUAUAAUCCUGGGAGGACCACCAGUGGCGAAGGCUGUCGGCUAGAACGCGCUCGACGGUGAGGGACGAAAGCUGGGGGAGCGAACCGGAUUAGAUACCCGGGUAGUCCCAGCUGUAAACGAUGCGGGCUAGGUGUUGGGGUGGCUACGAGCCACUUUCAGUGCCGCAGGGAAGCCAUUAAGCCCGCCGCCUGGGGGAGUACGGCCGUCAAGGCUGAAACUUAAAGGAAAUUGGCGGGGGAGCACCACAGGGCGUGAAGCAUGNGGUUUAAUUGGAUUCAACGCCGGA
rnacentral:rRNA from 1 species